GGAUCCCAAUGGUGUGUUUUCUA
rnacentral:siRNA from 1 species